rnacentral:rRNA from 1 species
GGGUAGGGGAGCGUUCUGUAAGCCUGUGAAGGUGUGUCGUGAGGCAUGCUGGAGGUAUCAGAAGUGCGAAUGCUGACAUAAGUAACGAUAAAGCGGGUGAAAAGCCCGCUCGCCGGAAGACCAAGGGUUCCUGUCCAACGUUAAUCGGGGCAGGGUGAGUCGACCCCUAAGGCGAGGCCGAAAGGCGUAGUCGAUGGGAAACGGGUUAAUAUUCCCGUACUUGGUGUUACUGCGAAGGGGGGACGGAGAAGGCUAUGUUGGCCGGGCGACGGUUGUCCCGGUUUAAGCGUGUAGGUGUGUGUUCCAGGUAAAUCCGGUUCACUUUAACACUGAGGCGUGACGACGAGGCACUACGGUGCUGAAGCAACAAAUGCCCUGCUUCCAGGAAAAGCCUCUAAGCAUCAGGUAACAUCAAAUCGUACCCCAAACCGACACAGGUGGUCAGGUAGAGAAUACCAAGGCGCUUGAGAGAACUCGGGUGAAGGAACUAGGCAAAAUGGUGCCGUAACUUCGGGAGAAGGCACGCUGACACGUAGGUGAAGUGAUUUACUCAUGGAGCUGAAGUCAGUCGAAGAUACCAGCUGGCUGCAACUGUUUAUUAAAAACACAGCACUGUGCAAACACGAAAGUGGACGUAUACGGUGUGACGCCUGCCCGGUGCCGGAAGGUUAAUUGAUGGGGUCAGCGCAAGCGAAGCUCCUGAUCGAAGCCCCGGUAAACGGCGGCCGUAACUAUAACGGUCCUAAGGUAGCGAAAUUCCUUGUCGGGUAAGUUCCGACCUGCACGAAUGGCGUAAUGAUGGCCAGGCUGUCUCCACCCGAGACUCAGUGAAAUUGAACUCGCUGUGAAGAUGCAGUGUACCCGCGGCAAGACGGAAAGACCCCGUGAACCUUUACUAUAGCUUGACACUGAACAUUGAGCCUUGAUGUGUAGGAUAGGUGGGAGGCUUUGAAGUGUGGACGCCAGUCUGCAUGGAGCCGACCUUGAAAUACCACCCUUUAAUGUUUGAUGUUCUAACGUGGACCCGUUACCCGGGUUGCGGACAGUGUCUGGUGGGUAGUUUGACUGGGGCGGUCUCCUCCUAAAGAGUAACGGAGGAGCACGAAGGUUGGCUAAUCCUGGUCGGACAUCAGGAGGUUAGUGCAAUGGCAUAAGCCAGCUUGACUGCGAGCGUGACGGCGCGAGCAGGUGCGAAAGCAGGUCAUAGUGAUCCGGUGGUUCUGAAUGGAAGGGCCAUCGCUCAACGGAUAAAAGGUACUCCGGGGAUAACAGGCUGAUACCGCCCAAGAGUUCAUAUCGACGGCGGUGUUUGGCACCUCGAUGUCGGCUCAUCACAUCCUGGGGCUGAAGUAGGUCCCAAGGGUAUGGCUGUUCGCCAUUUAAAGUGGUACGCGAGCUGGGUUUAGAACGUCGUGAGACAGUUCGGUCCCUAUCUGCCGUGGGCGCUGGAGAACUGAGGGGGGCUGCUCCUAGUACGAGAGGACCGGAGUGGACGCAUCACUGGUGUUCGGGUUGUCAUGCCAAUGGCACUGCCCGGUAGCUAAAUGCGGAAGAGAUAAGUGCUGAAAGCAUCUAAGCACGAAACUUGCCCCGAGAUGAGUUCUCCCUGAGACUUAGAGAACUGAGGGGGGCUGCUCCUAGUACGAGAGGACCGGAGUGGACGCAUCACUGGUGUUCGGGUUGUCAUGCCAAUGGCACUGCCCGGUAGCUAAAUGCGGAAGAGAUAAGUGCUGAAAGCAUCUAAGCACGAAACUUGCCCCGAGAUGAGUUCUCCCUGAGACUUAGAGUCUCCUGAAGGAACGUUGAAGACGACGACGUUGAUAGGCCGGGUGUGUAAGCGCAGCGAUGCGUUGAGCUAACCGGUACUAAUGAACCGUGAGGCUUAACCUUACAACGCCGAAG